UGGAUCGAUGAUGACCACUGGUGGCGUGUGAGUCAUAUACGAUGAAUAUAUGUCUGGAAGUCCGAGGUCCAA
ensembl:snoRNA small nucleolar RNA, C/D box 114-6